rnacentral:tRNA from 1 species
GGCGUUCCUCUCUGGUGUUCCGUGCAGACUGGAGGUGGUGGCGCUGCUCACUUCAAAACCGGUGGAGUCA